rnacentral:rRNA from 1 species
GAGUUUGAUCGUGGCUCAGGACGAACGCUGGCGGCGCGCUUAACACAUGCAAGUCGAACGAAGUAUGUUGGAUUGAUCCUUCGGGUGAUUGAUAGCAGACUUAGUGGCGGACGGGUGAGUAACACGUGAGCAACCUGCCUUACAGAGGGGGAUAACGUCUGGAAACGGACGCUAAUACCGCAUAACAUUGAAUUGGGGCAUCCCGAUUGAAUCAAAGGAGCAAUCCGCUGUAAGAUGGGCUCGCGACCGAUUAGCCAGUUGGCGGGGUAACGGCCCACCAAAGCGACGAUCGGUAGCCGGACUGAGAGGUUGGACGGCCACAUUGGGACUGAGACACGGCCCAGACUCCUACGGGAGGCAGCAGUGGGGAAUAUUGCACAAUGGGGGAAACCCUGAUGCAGCGACGCCGCGUGAGGGAAG